rnacentral:rRNA from 1 species
GAUGAACGCUGGCGGCGUGCCUAAUACAUGCAAGUCGAGCGAACAGACGAGGAGCUUGCUCCUCUGACGUUAGCGGCGGACGGGUGAGUAACACGUGGAUAACCUACCUAUAAGACUGGGAUAACUUCGGGAAACCGGAGCUAAUACCGGAUAAUAUAUUGAACCGCAUGGUUCAAUAGUGAAAGACGGUUUUGCUGUCACUUAUAGAUGGAUCCGCGCCGCAUUAGCUAGUUGGUAAGGUAACGGCUUACCAAGGCAACGAUGCGUAGCCGACCUGAGAGGGUGAUCGGCCACACUGGAACUGAGACCCGGUCCAGACUCCUACGGGAGGCAGCAGUAGGGAAUCUUCCGCAAUGGGCGAAAGCCUGACGGGGCAACGCCGCGUGAGUGAUGAAGGUCUUCGGAUCGUAAAACUUUGUUAUUAGGGAAGAACAAAUGUGUAAGUAACUAUGCACGUCUUGACGGUACCUAAUCAGAAAGCCACGGCUAACUACGUG